GGGGAAUAUUGGACAAUGGACCACAAGUCUGAUCCAGCAAUUCUGUGUGCACGAUGACGUUUUUCGGAAUGUAAAGUGCUUUCAGUCGGGAAGAAGUCAGUGACGGUACCGACAGAAGAAGCGACGGCUAAAUACGUGCCAGCAGCCGCGGUAAUACGUAUGUCGCAAGCGUUAUCCGGAUUUAUUGGGCGUAAAGCGCGUCUAGGCGGCAAGGAAAGUCUGAUGUGAAAAUGCGGAGCUCAACUCCGUAUGGCGUUGGAAACUGCCUUACUAGAGUACUGGAGAGGUAGGCGGAACUACAAGUGUAGAGGUGAAAUUCGUAGAUAUUUGUAGGAAUGCCGAUGGGGAGGCCAGCCUACUGGACAGAUACUGACGCUAAAGCGCGAAAGCGUGGGUAGCAAACAGGAUUAGAUACCCUGGUAGUCCACGCUGUAAACGAUGAUUACUAGGUGUUGGGGGUCAAACCUCAGCGCCCAAGCUAACGCGAUAAGUAAUCCGCCUGGGGAGUACGUACGCAAGUAUG
rnacentral:rRNA from 1 species